GAUGUGGGAUGCUUCGAUCACAGAGAAGGAGGUCGUCCGGGAUGCGGAUGCAGAGGCUUGAUCCGUGGAAGAUGGAUACGGACGGGAUCUUGGGCUUCUUCACAGGCUGCUGGGAUGCUUGCAAAUGGGAUUCGCUGGGAGGAGCCGCGAGGAAGACGAACGGCUGGAUGUGAUAAUUGAAUGGGCGGAAGAAGAGGCGGAGGAGGGGCUGUUGCUGGGAUCACGGGGACGUUGAUAGGAGCUGGAGAUCCGGAAGAAAUCUGAGAGAGACGCGGAGGAUGGCGUGGAGGUGUCGUGGACGGUGGGAUGGCUGGGCGCGAU
rnacentral:lncRNA from 1 species